rnacentral:rRNA from 1 species
UGGGGAAUUUUGGACAAUGGGCGCAAGCCUGAUCCAGCCAUGCCGCGUGCGGGAAGAAGGCCUUCGGGUUGUAAACCGCUUUUGUCAGGGAAGAAAUCUUCUGAGUUAAUACCUCGGGAGGAUGACGGUACCUGAAGAAUAAGCACCGGCUAACUACGUGCCAGCAGCCGCGGUAAUACGUAGGGUGCAAGCGUUAAUCGGAAUUACUGGGCGUAAAGCGUGCGCAGGCGGUUUUGUAAGACAGAGGUGAAAUCCCCGGGCUCAACCUGGGAACUGCCUUUGUGACUGCAAGGCUUGAGUGCGGCAGAGGGGGGAUGGAAUUCCGCGUGUAGCAGUGAAAUGCGUAGAUAUGCGGAGGAACACCGAUGGCGAAGGCAAUCCCCUGGGCCUGCACUGACGCUCAUGCACGAAAGCGUGGGGAGCAAACAGGAUUAGAUACCCUGGUAGUCCACGCCCUAAACGAUGUCAACUGGUUGUUGGGAAGGUUCCUUCUCAGUAACGUAGCUAACGCGUGAAGUUGACCGCCUGGGGAGUACGGCCGCAAGGUUGAAACUAAAGGAAUUGAC